GGUGGUAUAGCUCAGCGGUAGAGCACAUGCUUACCAUGCAGGAGGUUCUGGGUUCAAGUCCCAGUACCUCCA